GGCAUCAUAGUAGGUGACAGAAAAUAAAACAAAUAUUUUCCAGUGGGGCAUCUAAUAAGAGUGAACAAUCAAGCAAAGGAGCACGGGGCAGUCCAAAUAAAACAAAGCAAAGUGGUGAACAAACUCUGAGGAAAUUAGGUGGGAAAAAAAUAUAUUCUUUCUUGUCAAUUUAUGUUCAAAAUCUAUUGAAGCACGAGGAGGUAUAGAAUUCAUGGUGAAUAACCAAAUGUUUCAACAAAAUAGUUCUCAAAGUUUCGUCUUUCAACUGAAAUUUAUAUACUUUUAUCGAACAAAAUCACAUAGUAAAGAUGGUUUCAAAUAUACUCCACGAAAUGUGGAAAAACCUCAAACAUGAAUGCAAAACUCAUCUUCAAUCGUUUUGACACGUAUCCACACCCUUCACUAAUUCUUAACAGGAAAAAGAAGUGCCAUUUGAAUUAAAUCCCAUCGAAAAAAAAUGAUUUUUAAUAAUGAAAAAACUUAUUUUUAUAGUUUUAAAGUCCAAAAUUAGCUCAAUUUUCCCUACUAUUAUCUAUAAUAGCUAAAAUACUCAAAAUCAGUUAAGUCAACCAAAAUUAAAUCCAACAAGUAAUUGUCUUUGCCAAUUUCAAACUACACUUACACAACAAAUAGACAUAUUCCAUUCCGUCAAUAACAAUUUGACUAAUCAUUACUCCACACUCACACACAUAUCUACCUAACAAAUUCAUAAUCAAAAUAAAAAUAAAAUUUGCUAAAAAUAAAUAUAUAUUAAAAAAAAAAAAAAAAA